GCAAUGGUUUCAUAUCAAAAUCACUAAUCUAACCAGCUGAAUACGGUCACUUGUGUUUUAGUCCCCAGCAAACUAACAAUAAACAAAAAUAAUACAUAAUUGUACUGUAGACAUUUGCAGAAGGGUGCUCAUUUGAUCUGUAUGGUUAAAUCCUUAAAACAUUUCAUUCAAAGUACUAUAAAGCUUUAUUUAUCACAACUUUUAAAAGAUGUAUUUACAAAGAUUCCCCACUCCUAGAGACCAGCCAUCUCAUAGAAACAUGAUCCCAUUACAGGAAUUAAGCGUACUAUUUAAAUAAGCUAGUUUUUAAUCUAUGGCAUCCACACUGUGGAGUGCCACAAUGUACAAUGACCCUAAGUUUUCAUCAUUACAUCACUGGCAAAGUUGAGUAAUAUAAUUAAAAAUGACAAAUCUGAAAAAGUAAAAUUUACAUACAGCACUAAAAGUAGAAACAGUACAACACAAAAUAAAUGCAAAAAUUAAAGUAUUCCCCCUAAACAGUCUGAAACUAUGAUUCUCACCUUAAACACUGUGAUAAUAAAAGUGUGGAUUUUUGCCUCUUGUGCUACGUUUGUUCACACGAGGGGCCCCUCUGCCAGCAAGAAAAAAAGGAAUGCGGCCAAUGCAAAGUCAAGCCCACUGUCUCGUCUUCAGUCUCAGGCUCUGGGAACCAGCCCGCUCCACUGUGGGGACAACCUACAGUUCACCAGAUGCCUCAUUCACAUUAGAGUCCCCAAUUUGAGUCUAAGCAAGUGUCCUCUUCUGGAACAUUUUCUUCUCAAACUAUUAAACCAUACCUGUAUCUUCAAAAGAUGAGAACAUGAGGACAGUCCUCUGGCAGACGGUGCAGAGGUGCCACAUUCAGGAGUUUUGCUUUAAUUCCAUCAAGAGCAGUGGUAAGCCACUGAGUGUUUUAAGUAAGAGGGGAGGGGAGGUUUCCACCUUGGAAGGGCCAGGUGACUACAAAGCAGGAGGGGAGGUGGAGAAACAGAAGCACAAGGUGAGGCCAGGGUACACUGGACUGCAAUACAGUCUCCGGACAAGAGUGGACAUCACACUGGUGAUGGAAAGAAAAGGAAUUCAAGGAUUACUCCAGAGAAAACCUGGUGAUGAUUUAAAUGUGGGGGAAGAUGACUUUCUGGCUUGAAUAAUUGAGUGAGGUUUCAUUUGCCUACCUGCUCACACAAAACCCUCACGCACAAAGAAAACUGCCUAAGACCAGAUUUGGAGAAAGAACCCAAAGGUUAGGGUAACUCUCAUUAAGAACACUCACCACCAAACAGUGACAAAGAACGCAAACGGUAGAUUAUUCAGAGCUGAAAGCAGGACAAAGAAAGCAUGUAAUACGUGAUGAUUAUGGCCCAAGCAAUGAAUAUCCAAAGAUGAAUGAAACACAGAACUUGCCCUUUUGGCGCUGAUACUCUACCUAAAACAG